GACGAACCGUGCGAACGUUAUUCGGAAUCACUGGGCUUAAAGCGUGUGUAGGCGGGUCGUUAAGUACCUUGUGAAAUCCCCCGGCUCAACCGGGGAACGGCUGGGUAUACUGGCGAUCUUGAGCGACCUAGGGGCAGUCGGAACAAGUGGUGGAGCGGUGAAAUGCGUAGAUAUCACUUGGAACGCCAAUGGUGAAAACAGACUGCUGGGGGUUCGCUGACGCUGAGACACGAAAGCCAGGGGAGCAAACGGG
rnacentral:rRNA from 1 species